AGGAAGUGCACAGGUAGGAAGCACGCUCUCUCGCUUCACUAAGAGUCUCUGUUUCCCCUUUUUUUCCUUUUUGCCGAGUAAAUCCCAUUUUUCUCACUCUUCGAAUCGUCUGCAAGCCUACAUUUUCGUGGCCAUGUGACAAGGACCUCAUCUUUAGUUGACUUAAGGAGAAGUCCCCCAGCACUUGGGUCGUUUUCUUUGAUGUUGGCUUUUACAUAAAGGUAUGUAUCACUGAUUCUCAAAAGAGGAAAAUUAAGGAGUGUCAAAAAGAGAACGAGAGAGAAGCAGGAUGCUCUGGAGAAUGAAAGAUGCUGUACAUUCUGUAAAUCAUUUUGCUGGUUUCAAUAGAAAGUCCAGACCAAGUGGAAUAAAGUGCAUUUUGUGGGUCAGAUGUAAAAGACAGAAGAGACCUGCCCAAAGAAACAUUCCGUGGUACCAGAGGAAAUCGAGCACCAAGAGGCCUUUUUAUCCCCCCUAUACUCAAAGAUGAAAACUAGACUAGGGUCCCUUUUCAAGGUAAAAUGACAGGCAGGUCCAUUAAGCUGCUGUGAAAUUGUUCCCCAUCCUGCAAAUUCAUCCACCAGACCGGGCCCUGCAUCUUACUCAUCCUCAUGUCUCCAUUGUCUGAUAUAAGACCUGGCACAAAUUGGUACUUCCUGCUUGUUAGUGAAACUCAAUAUAUCACACAAUUAAGUACUUUUCCAUUUUAAGAUUGAACAGUAAACCUACCCUGUCUCCCUCUGUUCUCUGCUCUAACUCCUAGUUUGCUGUGGUGAUCACCCUUUAGUGUCUUAACAAGAUUCAAGGCACUGUUCACAUCCCACUAAAUUAGUUCCCUAUGGUUCCUAUAACAAAUUACUACAGACUUAGUGGCUUAAACCAACAGGGGUUUAUUAUGUUAUAGUUCUAGAGGUCAGAAAUCCAAAAUGGUUUUCAUUGGCCUAAAAUCAAGGUGUCAGCUGGGCCAUGUUCCUUCUGGAGGCUCUAGGGAAGAAUCCAUUUUUUUUUGUUUGUUUGUUUUUUGGAUUCUGCUUGCAUUCCUUGGCUCAAAUCUCCCCAGCUCAAGGCUCUUAACUUAAUCACACCUGUAAAAUCCUUUUGGUCAUGCAAAGUAAUAUAUUGACAGGUCCAAGGGAUUAGAACAGGGUCAUCUUGGGGGUGUGGGGAGCAUCAUUCUGUCUACCAAAACCACAGAACCACAGCUCUUCAGGCCAAAAACCUAGGGGUUUUUCAUGAUUCUCUUCUUCCCCUCAAUCUUUACGUCCAAUCUGCCAAUAAAUCUGGUUGGUUUAACAUCCAGAAUAUAUCCUGAAUCUAAUGACUUUUCACCUUCUCUUUUGAACAGUCUUAUCCAGGCUACCAUCAAUUUUUGCUUGAAUGACUUCAGUAGCUCCCUAAUUAUUCUUCUUACUUCUAUUCUUACUCCUCCCUCUAGCAGAACAGUCUAUUGCACAGAAAUAAUAAUAGAAAAGGAACCUUAAGAAAAAGAACACAGACCACGUCAUUCCAUCGCCCAAAGCACUCCAGUGGGUUUCUUCCCAUCAUGGCUAGAAAUUUUCCAGAUUCCCGAUUGUGCCUCCCUCUCCCAGAUUAUGCACCAUCUGCUUACUUCUCUGACCUAGGCUAUGUGCCAUCUGACUACUUCUCUGACCUCAUUUACUGUUGUCCCCUUCACUUCCUUGCUCCAGUCGUAUUUGCCUUAUUGUUGUUGUUUUUUAAAUGUACCCAGCCCACUGUCACCUCAGGGCCUUUGCACUUGUUAAUCCCCCUCCUUCCAGCUCUGCUUAAGACCUCUCCU
rnacentral:lncRNA from 10 species